rnacentral:rRNA from 1 species
UGGCGCACGGGUGAGUAACACGUGGGUGAUCUGCCCUGCACUUUGGGAUAAGCCUGGGAAACUGGGUCUAAUACCGAAUAGGACCACGCCCUUCAUGUGGUGUGGUGGAAAGCUUUUGCGGUGUGGGAUGGGCCCGCGGCCUAUCAGCUUGUUGGUGGGGUAAUGGCCUACCAAGGCGACGACGGGUAGCCGGCCUGAGAGGGUGACCGGCCACACUGGGACUGAGAUACGGCCCAGACUCCUACGGGAGGCAGCAGUGGGGAAUAUUGCACAAUGGGCGCAAGCCUGAUGCAGCGACGCCGCGUGAGGGAUGACGGCCUUCGGGUUGUAAACCUCUUUCACUACGGACGAAGCGCGAGUGACGGUACGUACAAAGAAGGACCGGCCAACUACCUGCCAGCAGCCGCGGUAAUACGUAGGGUGCGAGCGUUGUCCGGAAUUACUGGGCGUAAAGAGCUCGUAGGUGGUUUGUCGCGUUGUUCGUGAAAACUCACAGCUUAACUGUGGGCGUGCGGGCGAUACGGGCAGACUGGAGUACUGCAGGGGAGACUGGAAUUCCUGGUGUAGCGGUGGAAUGCGCAGAUAUCAGGAGGAACACAGGUGGCGAAAGCGGGUCUCUGGGCAGUAACUGA